GGUUAAGCGACUAAGCGUACACGGUGGAUGCCCUGGCAGUCAGAGGCGAUGAAGGGCGUGCUAAUCUGCGAUAAGCGCCGGUAAGGUGAUAUGAACCGUUAUAACCGGCGAUACCCGAAUGGGGAAACCCAGUGUGACUCGUCACACUAUCAUUAACUGAAUCCAUAGGUUAAUGAGGCGAACCGGGGGAACUGAAACAUCUAAGUACCCCGAGGAAAAGAAAUCAACCGAGAUUCCCCCAGUAGCGGCGAGCGAACGGGGAGGAGCCCAGAGCCUGAAUCAGCAUGUGUGUUAGUGGAAGCGUCUGGAAAGGCGCGCGAUACAGGGUGACAGCCCCGUACACAAAAGCGCAUGUGCUGUGAGCUCGAUGAGUAGGGCGGGACACGUGGUAUCCUGUCUGAAUAUGGGGGGACCAUCCUCCAAGGCUAAAUACUCCUGACUGACCGAUAGUGAACCAGUACCGUGAGGGAAAGGCGAAAAGAACCCCGGCGAGGGGAGUGAAAAAGAACCUGAAACCGUGUACGUACAAGCAGUGGGAGCACAGGUUUACCUGUGUGACUGCGUACCUUUUGUAUAAUGGGUCAGCGACUUAUAUUCUGUAGCAAGGUUAACCGAAUAGGGGAGCCGGAGGGAAACCGAGUCUUAAUUGGGCGUUAAGUUGCAGGGUAUAGACCCGAAACCCGGUGAUCUAGCCAUGGGCAGGUUGAAGGUUGGGUAACACUAACUGGAGGACCGAACCGACUAAUGUUGAAAAAUUAGCGGAUGACCUGUGGCUGGGGGUGAAAGGCCAAUCAAACCGGGAGAUAGCUGGUUCUCCCCGAAAGCUAUUUAGGUAGCGCCUCGUGAAUUCAUCUCCGGGGGUAGAGCACUGUUUCGGCUAGGGGGCCAUCCCGGCUUACCAACCCGAUGCAAACUGCGAAUACCGGAGAAUGUUAUCACGGGAGACACACGGCGGGUGCUAACGUCCGUCGUGAAGAGGGAAACAACCCAGACCGCCAGCUAAGGUCCCAAAGUCAUGGUUAAGUGGGAAACGAUGUGGGAAGGCCCAGACAGCCAGGAUGUUGGCUUAGAAGCAGCCAUCAUUUAAAGAAAGCGUAAUAGCUCACUGGUCGAGUCGGCCUGCGCGGAAGAUGUAACGGGGCUAAACCAUGCACCGAAGCUGCGGCAGCGAACGUAUCACUUAAAGCGAUUCAGCGGGUUACGAUUGACGGAGCGAAGCGACGUCAAAGCGUAUACAAAGUCGAGUCGGUUUAAGGAUACGUUCGUUGGGUAGGGGAGCGUUCUGUAAGCCUGUGAAGGUGGCCUGUGAGGGUUGCUGGAGGUAUCAGAAGUGCGAAUGCUGACAUAAGUAACGAUAAAGCGGGUGAAAAGCCCGCUCGCCGGAAGACCAAGGGUUCCUGUCCAACGUUAAUCGGGGCAGGGUGAGUCGACCCCUAAGGCGAGGCCGAAAGGCGUAGUCGAUGGGAAACAGGUUAAUAUUCCUGUACUUGGUGUUACUGCGAAGGGGGGACGGAGAAGGCUAUGUUGGCCGGGCGACGGUUGUCCCGGUUUAAGCGUGUAGGUGUGUGUUCCAGGUAAAUCCGGUUCACUUUAACACUGAGGCGUGAUGACGAGGCACUACGGUGCUGAAGCAACAAAUGCCCUGCUUCCAGGAAAAGCCUCUAAGCAUCAGGUAACAUCAAAUCGUACCCCAAACCGACACAGGUGGUCAGGUAGAGAAUACCAAGGCGCUUGAGAGAACUCGGGUGAAGGAACUAGGCAAAAUGGUGCCGUAACUUCGGGAGAAGGCACGCUGACACGUAGGUGAAGUGAUUUACUCAUGGAGCUGAAGUCAGUCGAAGAUACCAGCUGGCUGCAACUGUUUAUUAAAAACACAGCACUGUGCAAACACGAAAGUGGACGUAUACGGUGUGACGCCUGCCCGGUGCCGGAAGGUUAAUUGAUGGGGUCAGCGCAAGCGAAGCUCCUGAUCGAAGCCCCGGUAAACGGCGGCCGUAACUAUAACGGUCCUAAGGUAGCGAAAUUCCUUGUCGGGUAAGUUCCGACCUGCACGAAUGGCGUAAUGAUGGCCAGGCUGUCUCCACCCGAGACUCAGUGAAAUUGAACUCGCUGUGAAGAUGCAGUGUACCCGCGGCAAGACGGAAAGACCCCGUGAACCUUUACUAUAGCUUGACACUGAACAUUGAGCCUUGAUGUGUAGGAUAGGUGGGAGGCUUUGAAGCGUGGACGCCAGUCUGCGUGGAGCCGACCUUGAAAUACCACCCUUUAAUGUUUGAUGUUCUAACGUGGACCCGUAAUCCGGGUUGCGGACAGUGUCUGGUGGGUAGUUUGACUGGGGCGGUCUCCUCCUAAAGAGUAACGGAGGAGCACGAAGGUUGGCUAAUCCUGGUCGGACAUCAGGAGGUUAGUGCAAUGGCAUAAGCCAGCUUGACUGCGAGCGUGACGGCGCGAGCAGGUGCGAAAGCAGGUCAUAGUGAUCCGGUGGUUCUGAAUGGAAGGGCCAUCGCUCAACGGAUAAAAGGUACUCCGGGGAUAACAGGCUGAUACCGCCCAAGAGUUCAUAUCGACGGCGGUGUUUGGCACCUCGAUGUCGGCUCAUCACAUCCUGGGGCUGAAGUAGGUCCCAAGGGUAUGGCUGUUCGCCAUUUAAAGUGGUACGCGAGCUGGGUUUAGAACGUCGUGAGACAGUUCGGUCCCUAUCUGCCGUGGGCGCUGGAGAACUGAGGGGGGCUGCUCCUAGUACGAGAGGACCGGAGUGGACGCAUCACUGGUGUUCGGGUUGUCAUGCCAAUGGCACUGCCCGGUAGCUAAAUGCGGAAGAGAUAAGUGCUGAAAGCAUCUAAGCACGAAACUUGCCCCGAGAUGAGUUCUCCCUGAGACUUAGAGUCUCCUGAAGGAACGUUGAAGACGACGACGUUGAUAGGCCGGGUGUGUAAGCGCAGCGAUGCGUUGAGCUAACCGGUACUAAUGAACCGUGAGGCUUAACCUU
rnacentral:rRNA from 1 species